UACGUAGGGACCGAGCGUUGUCCGGAAUCAUUGGGCGUAAAGAGCGUGUAGGCGGCUUUACAGGUCCGUUGUGAAAACUCGAGGCUCAACCUCGAGACGCCGGUGGAAACCGUAAAGCUAGAGUCCGGAAGAGGAGAGUGGAAUUCCUGGUGUAGCGGUGAAAUGCGCAGAUAUCAGGAGGAACACCCGUGGCGAAAGCGGCUCUCUGGGACGGUACUGACGCUGAGACGCGAAAGCGUGGGGGAGCAAACAGG
rnacentral:rRNA from 1 species